GUCUGUCAAACGUCAAGGAUUGGUCGUAGUGUCAUUGAUUAUUUUAUUUUCGGUUAUCCACUCGAGAUGUGAUCACCUAAAGUUAUUUUUUCGUCCGUUGAGCUUGAGCCCAUAUUUUUUAAAUUUUAAUAUUAAUAAUGGCGUCUCCAUAAAUGUGACUACCGUCAUGUAAAAAUGCAAUCGACUUAUCCGCUUAUUAAAAGUUAUUAAAAAUUAUUUAAAUGUUCCAUAUUGAUAACAAGAUUACCCUCGUUUGAACUCACACGCCUAUGCUGUGGGGUUUAGUUAUUCUAAUUAGAAUUUUUUAACAGUACUGGAAGCAUACUUAUUCAAAACAUCUAUUGAUUCAUGGUAUCACUCUGAAAUACUGUAAGGAAUGGGAAGAUCCAAUUAUUGUGACGCUGGCAAAUAGAUGGACUCUCAUCGACUAUCGCCUAUCACUCACAUCCAGAACAUAUCCGGUAUUGUGAUAUUUAUUUUCAGUUGUAUAGAAAUUUAAAGACUAAAAGUAGUGAAUUGUGUAUAAUAUAUAUGUAGUAAUUUAUAAAUAGCAAGUAAUAGUAAUAGUUUUGUAUUCUAAAUUAUUAUUGAAUCUGGUAAAUGUUUCUUUUGGUUAAAUUUAGUAUAUUAAGUAACUGUUUGGAAACCCAUUUAUUGUAGAACCACCCUCUUUUUCUUUUUUUUUUUUUGUAGCUUAACUAUAUUUCACCUUUUCUUUAGAUAUAAUAAAUCAUUAGUAAAUCUGU